GGGGAAGGGACCAAAUAGAGCGCAUGCCCAUGGUGGCCAUUAAGACCGACCCGAAGUUCUUGCGAAUUCGGUGCGGUGGCUGCCGUUUCUGCUUUAAAUUAGAGGACAAUGAAUGCAGCGGUUCCUGGGCGAGGGCGGAGGUGGAGCGACGGCUGGCUCGCGGCUGGUGCCAUGGGGAACACGGGAUUUUUUUUUUGAGGGGAUGGGGAACACGGGGUGCUCGCGGGUGGCUGGCCAGAUGCAAGACGGGCCGCACGUGAUAGGAUGUUCUCAAGACAGUGGGCUGGACUCGAUGGGCCAACGAAUAGAUGAAAAUAAUUUUGGAAAUUAGAAUGGAAAAAGGAUUUGAGCGUAAACUGAUUAUAGAUUAAAUGAAUGCUGAUGUGGAUAGGCUGCAUGUGCAGCUUGCUAAAUUAACUGCACUUAAUGGGUUUUAACUUUAUAAAGUUUAUAGAUAACCCCAAUUAAAUGAAUUAACGACCCCAAAUUCGGGUUUUAUAAGAAGUAUUAGCUCUAUAAGUAAUUAGCGCCAAUUAAGUGAAUUGACGCCCAGAUAGCUGAAAAGAGAGUGGUUUGGGAGAGAUUUUUUUGUGGUGAAUUAUCUUUAUAAAGAUAGCACAUGGAACCCAGUUUGGUUCUCGAAAUGCCCUUGCGGAUCAAACAAAAGGGCACCAAGUUAAAGAAGCGAAAUAAUCAGUUAAGCAUCUUGGAUCUGGGAAUCUCGGAAACAUGACACAUUGUAUGCUGCUCGUCUGCUAUAGGUACUGACCAACUACACGAGCAAAUCUCACCUACCACCGAUUAAAAGAUGCAGCAGCUCUCAAACUUUUCCGUGGAGUCUCUCACCAACCUCAACGACCCUGACUGAGUCAAGUGCAUUUGUUGGGUGUACUAUUAGUCAGAUUCCUUUAAAUAAAAGACAUUCAGUCCACUGAGUAGUUAGCUGGGAUCGAUGUAAAAAAGAGUAGUUAGCUGGGACAUGUAUGAAAAUCAUUUCUUUUAUAAAAAAAACAAAGAAAGGAAGCAAAACAAGGCGACCACUAUAAGGACUAACAUAUGAAACACGCUUGAGAAAGUAAUCGGCCAAGGCCCGAGUGUCUCUUUCAUUUCAGAAUCCUGCGAAUUAAACAAAUCAUACUAGAUGAUUUUUUCGGAAGCAAUGACCAAAUUUGAAAAAGGUGAGGAAAGAGUACAAAGCACAAAGUUGACGGAGUGGGCCGUACACAAAGGUUUUAUCGCCGGGUAACGGGCCAACACAGGCUUCGAGGACAUUAUUCGUUAUUUCCAUCCCUCAAGACUCCACAGGUUCUUUGCCAGCGGGACAGUCAACGUGGUCUGCAUUGCCUAACACUUUCAGUCAACAGGUACAGCUCGAGACCAGCGCCCAAUUCACACGGCUGAAUGGGCCAGGCCAGGCCAUGAAAACAGCCCACAAUGGCAACUGCAUCAGACACUAAAAAAAAACAGUCCAAGCUAAAACAGCCCAAGCUUUCCUAAAAAAAAACUAGUCAAGCCGAUGAAAGACAUGAAGAGAUCGGCGUACAUUUAGGAUUAUCAGAACCCACUAAGAACGGUACAUGUACUUACAAAAUUGAAUAACACUAUACCAGGUAGAUAUCAGGGAUACAUUAGCUGAUAGCGUCUAAAUGUAAAUAAUCUCUUACUCCCUCCAUUUAUUAAUAUUUGUACAUUUAGGAUUAUCCUAAGUCAUUUUUUGUC
rnacentral:lncRNA from 1 species